UCAUGACCACAGCGUGAGCCAGGGUGCUGCACUGACUUCCUCACUCCCAGAAACGUGAGCUUGGACCUGCCUGAGUGAGGGCUUCAUCCUGUGAGAUAGGAGUCAUGGUCACUGGUCCUCGGGGAGAUACUUCCUGUCAUUGCACAGGUUGCUGAAAAUGGAAUCAUCAAAUUAAUCGCUUGCCUAUAAGAAAUUUGUGAUCUAAUUGGAGCGACAAUUAAUCUGCACAAAUGUAACAGAGUAAAUGUUGGGUUCCCCAGCAUCUUAAGGUUCAUCUAGUUUGAACUUCUCAGUUUUAGGUUCCACUCACAAGCCUGGGCUGUUGUGGGAUUCCGAGUCUCCAACAAACUUCCACCUAUGCCGUUCCCACACUGAGUUGCCAAGUUGAUCUGGAAUGUCUACCCAGCGGAGAAAUGGAAACCAGCAGGGAAGAUUUAAAUGGUCAAUAAGCAUUUUUCAGCAGGUAGAAAUGUUUCUUUUCACCUAAUUCCUUGUCCCAGGAAAUAGGAACUUCUUCUAAUCCUGCCUGCAUCACCAGUGAAGGCUGCUUCCUAAUGCUGUGCACUCCCACGCCUGAGGACAGAGUGGGGAUGCAUCUGAUGGGAGAGAUUGGGCGGUGGUUCUGUCAGUGAGGAGCCUGAUUUCCCCUGCCUUCUUCAGCUCAGAGCCGCCCAUCCUCACACCCAGGCAUCUUCUUGUCUUUCCCUCCCUCUCUGAAAUGGUGCCUCAGGGAGGGUCCCCAUCCAAGGUUUCAGAGACCAGCACAUGGCAGCAGCGCCAUCAAUGAGUAGAGAAGGGAAGAAUGGUUCCAGAAAUGUUGGGAAGAUGAUAAAUGGUCAUCCACACACAAAGGGACAGAAUCAGAGCCAUGACUCCAACUGUACACUAAAGCAAACCCCAAGCAGGUGCAGACCUUCAGCAUGGCUUAUAGCAUCCUAAAUGUUUAGAGCAAAACAUGCUAUCCUGAGUCAAGGACAACAGGAUCUCAGCAUUUUAAAGGAGAUGUUGAUAAAUCUGAUUAGUUUACAAUUGAAAACACCAAAAGACAACUCAAAGGGGUCAAGUGACAAGUUGUAGACAUCUGGAAUGUGUGACCUCUUGUGUUGCCAUGGCGAUGACAUCACACUCUGACAUUGAAGGACUCCAAAGUUCCCAGCUGGCCUGCUAGGAGCUUUCUGAACUUAGUUAACUGGCCCAAAUAGAAGGAAGCUCAAGGAAUUCAGUGUAAGUGCUCUGAAUCAGAGGAACUGUGAGGGAACAUGGAGUGACUCCAGUUAUGCCUCCGACGUCUGCCUAGAACCUUUAGUGUCUUUGGUACCACAUUCUACAGUAUUGCACUCAUGCUCACACACGGGAGGACUCCAGCUUUUCAAGCAUGUGCACUGGACUCCCAAACUUGCUGAGUUUUGCAUUUUCCAUAAGAAAUCACUUCUCAGCCUUUCCUCUAAGCACGUUCUCUCUGAGAUCUGUAUUAACAAUUUAUUAUGUCUUUCCAUAUUUUCCCCAAAGCUCAGAUAAUUCUAAGACAUCUAUGUAUCUACACAUGUAUCUAAUUAUAUGGAUUUGGGCCUUCAUUCAGUUCUGUGGGAAAGCUAUGUAGCAUAAAUAAAUUCAACAGCACUAAUAUCUAUACAUCAGAAAGAAACUUUUGUCUCUAUAUAAGUUCACAUGGAAAGGGAAGUGCUUGCAAGGAUCUUCACCCCUGUAUCGUUUAUGACAAAAAUAAUUUAGAAUGGGCUGCAGAAGAAACUGUAGUCUAUUCAGAAAAUGAGGUGGAUGUACUAAACAAUAUAUUACCUAGAUAAGCAAAUAUAACAAUGUGUAUAUGAUAUCUGCUACUGGGAUGUUUACAGCAAAAAAUAUU